UUAAUUAAAAAUUAAUUUCUCUCUCUCUCCGUUUCCUCCAUAAUUCAAACAAAGGGUUAGUUUCUGUCUGAACUAACAUUUCAGAAGUACAACUAAAAACAAUUACAAUUUGAACAAGAAACAAAGUGAAGAGAAAAAAUAAUAAAUAAAAUAGGGAUCUCACCCAUCAGAAGACUAGUUUUUCUUGUGCUUUCCAUGCCUUUCUUUUGCCAUCUCCGACUUCGCAUUGCCAUUAUUCUGGUUGCUAACAGAGCCCUCUUGAGCACUGCACAACUGAGACUUUAGCUUAAAUCCAAAUUUCUUAGACACAUUUCCCCAAGUGCUGGAACCUUUCGUUCGACCCAUCUUCUCAAUCUCCUGCCUCAUAAUGGAACACUCCAUCUCAAGCUCAGACACCCUCAUCCUCAUAUUAUCCAUUCCCACCUUCAAAACCAGAUUCUCUCUAACAGCUGUGGCCCAGCCUCCCUCGGUAGACCCAACAAAGCCACUUCUCAGUUGUCUUGACCCAUCUAGGUUGUCGGAAACCAGAAAGCAGCCGGCAAUAGAUGUCCUUAGCUGAAGUUGCUCAAAGAAGAGAACUCGGACUAUUAUUCUUAACGGUAGCCUUUCAUUCUGCGCGGCAUGAGUACAAGCUUCCAAGGAGAGCUUCUGGCAGUCCAUCAGCCUACAGAGCUGUUCUCUUCAGACUCUGCCAACCACGGGUGUGACUUCAAGUAAACGUCUAUGGCACGAUAAA
rnacentral:misc_RNA from 1 species